GACGAACGCUGGCGGCGUGCCUAAUACAUGCAAGUCGAACGAACUGACGAAAGAGCUUGCUCUUUUGGACGUUAGUGGCGGACGGGUGAGUAACACGUGGGCAACCUGCCUGUAAGUUGGGGAUAACUCCGGGAAACCGGGGCUAAUACCGAAUAAUAACAAGCGUCGCAUGACGCCUGUUUGAAAGACGGUUUCGGCUGUCACUUACAGAUGGGCCCGCGGUGCAUUAGCUAGUUGGUAGGGUAAUGGCCUACCAAGGCGACGAUGCAUAGCCGACCUGAGAGGGUGAUCGGCCACACUGGGACUGAGACACGGCCCAGACUCCUACGGGAGGCAGCAGUAGGGAAUCUUCCGCAAUGGACGAAAGUCUGACGGAGCAACGCCGCGUGUGUGAAGAAGGUUUUCGGAUCGUAAAGCACUGUUGUUAGAGAAGAACAAGGAUAAGAGUAACUGCUUGUCCCUUGACGGUAUCUAACCAGAAAGCCACGGCUAACUACGUGCCAGCCGCCGCCGUAACAC
rnacentral:rRNA from 1 species